GGAUUUGUGCCUGAGUUUAAGGAUUACUUUGAUAGAGUAAACAUGAGGGUUAAAACCCCUUCAAUUCCU
rnacentral:tRNA from 1 species